rnacentral:rRNA from 1 species
GGGUGGUAAUGCCGGAUGCUCCAGUUGACCGCAUGGUCCUCUGGGAAAGAUUCAUCGGUAUGGGAUGGGGUCGCGUCCUAUCAGCUUGAUGGCGGGGUAACGGCCCACCAUGGCUUCGACGGGUAGCCGGCCUGAGAGGGCGACCGGCCACAUUGGGACUGAGAUACGGCCCAGACUCCUACGGGAGGCAGCAGUGGGGAAUAUUGCACAAUGGGCGCAAGCCUGAUGCAGCGACGCCGCGUGCGGGAUGACGGCCUUCGGGUUGUAAACCGCUUUUGACUGGGAGCAAGCCCUUCGGGGUGAGUGUACCUUUCGAAUAAGCACCGGCUAACUACGUGCCAGCAGCCGCGGUAAUACGUAGGGUGCAAGCGUUAUCCGGAAUUAUUGGGCGUAAAGGGCUCGUAGGCGGUUCGUCGCGUCCGGUGUGAAAGUCCAUCGCUUAACGGUGGAUCCGCGCCGGGUACGGGCGGGCUUGAGUGCGGUAGGGGAGACUGGAAUUCCCGGUGUAACGGUGGAAU